CCGAUGAUCACCAUAUGAUGACGGCCAGACUGGUUAGCGUCGUGCUCUCGACGCGCCCACAGGCUUCGCCUAGCGGCCUAGGGGCGGCGCGGCCUGGCCACUCUAGGUCGGGGGCGGCCGGCUAGGGUACCGGGGGCGCCGCCGCGCCCAGGAGCAGGAGCAGGAGCGGCAGCGGCAGCGGAGGAGGGAGCGCCCCGCGCGCCUGCGGGAGGCCAGCGACCCGCAGCCGCUGCCCCGCCCCCGGCCCCGGCGGCGCGUCCCCCUGAUGCGGCACCUGGAGUUGCGGUGGUCGAAGCUGCGGAAGGAGUGCCGGAGCGCCCUCGUCAAGCGGCAGCAGCUCAAGAAGCGGGUGACCACAGGUCGAACGUCUUUGAUGUUCGGGGUAAUACUCUUCCAACGCUUUGAAAAGUUACCAGGUUUACGACGUGUAGGACCCUCUUAAGACUACCGAUCCCAACUAACACGUAGUUUCCACUUACAUCUAGAAACGUCAUCUAAAAGACAACUGGUAAUAGGAAAGGAUGAAACCCCUGGGGGUGGUUUUAAACGAUUGUGAUUCACCCUGGCCUUCGUUCUCUUUUCGCUGUAUUUUAACUAACUACUACCUUCUUGUCGUCUCGCAAAUGAAUACACCUAUUUAUUCGUUGACCUUUCGAGCAAGUGAAACCUACUGUUUUUUAUACUCUUACUUUCAUACGAAGGUUUGUCAUGAAGUCUAGGAUUUGUCCAACAAGUUCGUUAAAUACUACAACUCCUUCGUUGUCGAGUACGCAAUGUCUAUUAAAACCUCGUGUUCUACUAGUUUCGUCUGUGAGCACUGAGAGAAUAUUCCAAAAAUGUUUAAAACCACCGAGUAGUAGGUAGGUUCUCCACAGCUUCUCCUAGACGACUCGAUGAAUAAUUGAAACUACUAGUGACCGGAAGUUUGGAGAGAAAUUCGAGUGUUCUGUCAAGAUUUAACAACCUUUCACAACGUCGUCUAUUGGUGUUCUAGACACCUUUCCUCCACGGAGCGCCAAUGACCUAAAAGACGGCACCUUCAUUUUCACUUUGUUCUCCUAAAUCGACACCAGAUACCCAAAACGACGUAAGUGAAUGACAGGUUUAACCCCUACCUCUUUCGGUUAGUUGGAAAUGUAGUUAUACACUAAAGUAUGUGUUAAAGAAGUAGACACUCCUUACGGCGUUUGUGAAGAUACUAUACACGAGUUCACACAGUCAAGGGAAGUUCAGUCGGGCACUAGAGUCGGAGACCGAUACCUCGUGCGUAUUGUUUCAAUUACUCUCCAACUACUUUCUUCUUUUCCUAUACCCUUGACCGCUAGGUAGUAAAGGAUUCCGAUAGACCGGAGGUUUCCGUGAGACGGGUAGAACGAUAGCAAGAAGUUCGUCCUGCUCACUACCUCGGAACGUCCAACUGACCUUACUCCUACUUCAUAAAGGUAAGAACCAAUUGAUGAUACCCUUCUGCGAACAUAGUAGGAUAUUUCUUUGGAUGUACCUCAGAGAAGUUCCCUCCUGCGUUCAUCCCCGCCGUGAACGACUGCUACGGAGGAGGAGUGUACGACGUUCUCAGGGUUAACCUCGACGGGAUCCACAACGUCGACGGUCGACAUGUAAACCCCGUGAUCGAACGAAGACCUCUUGGGUCGUCUUCUUGUCUUUCGUUUCUUUCUUGACCUUGACUUUUUGUCGGGUGGCCAACGAGUGGCACGUGAAGUAGUCUCCACCGGAGGCACUUACAUAUAAAGAACCUACCCAAUUUUUAGAACCAUUCAUCGAGUGUCUCUCACGUGUUUUAGGUUACAACCUCGACAGUAAAUGUCUUCAUACUACUGGAUUGAACGUGGAACAAUAUCCCAAGUUUUACAUCAAGACAAAAAUGGUAUAUCAACACUAGACUAACGGCCUGUACCUACUUGACAACGACGGGUAAACUAGGCACUUUAAAACUUGAGUCACAAUUAGGAAUUCAGAACACUGAAAAAUAGCCCACAUGAGACAGACACCAUAGUUUUAAACACGACAGCUGCUGUCGUACCAUCACGUGGAUACCGACUAUAUGGGAUGUGUUCGUCGUAAACCUUAACCGCUUAACAGCUCGUUGUUAUUGUUGUUGUUACUUCCGCUGUCUCACUAAGGACGUAAGAGACGCGUAACUUACAUGUAACGUGUUCAGAUUUUAAGGAUGUAGAACAUGAGGACAGAGAGCAGAACAUGUCGUCCUUGUGAAGUAGAAGUAACGAAGACUGCGCUCACAGGUACUUACAUGUAUACGUAAAAAGAAAGCUAUAUGUGUCCAUAAGACUUCUAACAUAUGCAUGUCGGUGUUGAGUGUUAAUAAUACAUGUGUAGGAGGUAGAGAAUACAAUUGUACUACCGUG
rnacentral:rRNA from 1 species